rnacentral:rRNA from 1 species
AUAUCUCUGUAGAGUCUGCAUAUCAAUAAGCGGAGGAAAAGAAACUAACUAGGAUUCCCUUAGUAACGGCGAGUGAAGCGGGAAGAGCUCAAAUUUGAAAUCUUCAAGGUUCUACCUUGACGAAUUGUAGUUUAAAGAAGUGUUUUCUGUUAGGAGUGAGUACAAAGUUCCUUGGAAUAGGACAUCAUAGAGGGUGAGAAUCCCGUAUUUGUUCAUUCAUUCUAGCUUUGUGAUACACUUUCAAAGAGUCGGAUUGUUUGGGAAUGCAGUCCAAAAUGGGUGGUAAAUUUCAUCUAAAGCUAAAUAUUGGCGAGAGACCGAUAGCGAACAAGUACCGUGAGGGAAAGAUGAAAAGAACUUUGAAAAGAGAGUUAAACAGUACGUGAAAUUGUCAAAAGGGAAGCGUUUGACACCAGUGUUGUUUCUCCGAAAAUCAAUUACGAAUGGCUUGAUUUUGUGUUGUAUUGACCUUAUCAGCUUUCUUCACUUUUUUCGAGUCUUUCUUAAUGCACUUUUCGGUUAACAAGUCAACAUCAAUUUCUUUUGUUGUAAAAGAGUAUUCGGAAGGUGGCUUUCUUUUCGGAGAAAGUGUUUAUAGCCCUAUACUUCUACAAUCGGAGAGAUUGAGGUCUGCAGCGUAGAUCCUUCGGGGUUAGAUACACUUGUGCUAAGUUGUAGCUUUUCAUAGACAACUUGUUGACUAUGUUUAGUCAUGCGGCUUACUCGCUUGUGCUAUUUUACCUACGCUUAGGAUGUUGACGAGACUGUCGAUCUC